rnacentral:snRNA from 1 species
UUGCUUCUGAAGCACAUAUACUAAAGCACAAAUGAUUCAGAGAUUAGCAUGGCCCCUGCACAAGGAUAACAAGCAAAUUCAUGAAGCAUUCCAAAUGAAG